AGCAGUACUACGUCGAGGAAUAUCUCUACGAACGCUGCCUGUCCGAGCCCGCGGUCGAGAUGCGCUUCCGCAACAAGGUCGUCGGCGUCACGCCGCACGCCGACCACGUCGCGGUCGAGGUCGAGACACCGGAUGGCCGCUACACGCUCGAGGCCGAGUGGCUGGUCGCUUGCGACGGCGUGCGCAGCCCCGUGCGCCACAUGCUCGGCCUGCCGUUCGAGGGCGAGGUCUUCCACGACCAGUUCCUGAUCGCCGACAUCCGCCUGCUCGACGACCUGCCCAAGGAGCGGCGCUUCUGGUUCUAUCCACCGUUCCAUCCCACCAACUCGGUGCUGCUGCACCGCCAGGCCGACAACGUGCUGCGCGUCGACUUCCAGCUCGGCCGCGACGCCGACGCCGAAGAGGAGAAGAAGACCGAGAGCGUCGACCGCCGGCUGCGCCUGAUGUUCGGGCCCGAGGCGCGCUGGGAGCACGAAUGGACCAGCGUCUACACCUUCACCUGCCGCAUGCUGCAGCGCUUCGUCCAUGGCCGCGUGAUCUUCGCCGGCGAUUCGGCCCACGUCGUCUCGCCGUUCGGCGCGCGCGGCGGCAAUGGCGCAAUCGCCGAUGUCGACAACCUCGCCUGGAAGCUCGCCCUGGUGGUGGCCGGCAAGGCGCCGGAGGCGCUGCUCGACAGCUACUGCGGCGAGCGCCGCGCAGCGGCGCGCGAGAACAUCCUCAAUUCCACGCGCAGCACCGAUUUCAUCACGC
rnacentral:misc_RNA from 1 species